AACCUCCGCAAUGUGAGAAAUCGCGACGGGGGGAUCCCAAGUGCCAUUCUUAACGGGAUGGCUUUUCAUUAGUGUAAAGAGCUUUUGGAAUAAGAGCUGGGCAAGACCGGUGCCAGCCGCCGCGGUAACACCGGCAGCUCUAGUGGUAGCAAUUUUUAUUGGGCCUAAAGCGUCCGUAGCCGGUUUAAUAAGUCUCUGGUGAAAUCCUGCAGCUUAACUGCGGGAAUUGCUGGAGAUACUAUUAGACUUGAGAUCGGGAGAGGUUAGAGGUACUCCCAGGGUAGAGGUGAAAUUCUGUAAUCCUGGGAGGACCGCCUGUUGCGAAGGCGUCUAACUGGAACGAUUCUGACGGUGAGGGACGAAAGUUAGGGGCGCGAACCGGGAUUAGAUACCCGGGUAGUCCUAACUGUAAACGAUGCGGACUUGGUGUUGGGGUGGCUUUGAGCUGCUCCAGUGCCGAAGGGAAGCUGUUAAGUCCGCCGCCUGGGAAGUACGGUCGCAAGACUGAAACUUAAAGGAAUU
rnacentral:rRNA from 1 species